CUCAAAAAAAUGAAAUCUGGGUGUUGUUCGAUAAAAAUAAAUAGAGCAUUUUGAAACAAAUUAAAUUAAUCAGUUUAAGGGAUGUACACAAUUAUUUUAAAUCAGUCUGAACUAAAUCCAUACAACCUUAAAAGAGCUCAAUUCAUUUGUGUCGAAACAACAAAAAAUAAUGAUUCGAGUCAAACUACUACUUUUGCGCAUGCGCUGAUGACAGGAAAUCCACGUGACCUCGUCAGUUAUCGCGGGCGCCAUUAUGUGGUGGAGUCCAGUCUAUGGUGGAAUGCUGUAUAAUUGGUUUUUACAAGAGCUCAUUAAAUGGUAUCCUAUACUUGGGUUAUAGUCUACUUUUUCACAUGGUUUACAAGAGCAAUAAACAGCAUCCCAUGCUUGGGUUUUAGUAAACUUUUUCAUGUGAACAACAGCGUAGACAUGGAAAGAGAAUGCAUCCUCAAAAAGCACUGUGUGUAUACUUAAAGGAGGACCAUCUACAGCUGUUCAAGGAGUACAAUAAAACGUGCAAAUACUGAGUUCUCUUUCAAGUCUUGUGCUUCAGAGGCCAAAUUCGUACAAAAAUUAUAUCAACAUGACCGUCUUGGAUUGCGACUGGAUGAAUUCUAAAGAAGCCAUAGAGCAGAUGGUAAUGGGGAUCUACAUCGUCCAAUUCAUAGACACCAACCAGGGGAUAAACCUGUGGAUGUUGGUAUCCUGAUUGAAGGGACCGAGGUUCUCUGCUCUUUGAAGAACGUGUAGCAGUUGCCAUGCUGUUUGGACUUACUUACGCCUUGAACCUCAGCUACCCACAAGAACUCAAGGCUACAUUUGAGGUCAUCCAGAAAGUGUUCUUUAUCUUGGAUGGACAAAAACUUUCACUAAAGGUACCAGCCCUUAAGAACAAGAUGUUGGAGUAAGUUACCUUAUGUGUGUAUUCUCAAAAGACUAAAUCUUGACUCAAGAAGGUAUUAGCUGUGCAUAUACAUUGAAAUAUAAUGUUGUUCAUCUUGGAUGAUAUUUUUUUGUAUUUUUUUACCUGAAAAUUUGCCUUGAAAUAAGAAUAAAGAGAAACUUUUGACAUUCACUUUGAGAACAUUUUAUUUGUGCAGUAAAUUACAUUUUGAUAGACAUGUCAACAAUUAAACAUUUGUUUGAUGUAAAUAAAGUUGUACAAUUAACUUAACGAUAGUAGUUGACACAAUAUUUCUGGUUUUCUAAAUUAAGUGAUUAAGAUUAAUUG